rnacentral:rRNA from 1 species
GAUCAUGCUCAGGAUGAACGCUAGCUACAGGCUUAACACAUGCAAGUCGAGGGGAAACGACAUCGAAAGCUUGCUUUUGAUGGGCGUCGACCGGCGCACGGGUGAGUAACGCGUAUCCAACCUGCCCAUCACUUGGGAAUAACCUUGCGAAAGUAAGACUAAUGCCCAAUGAUAUCCCACGAAGGCAUCCGAAUGGGAUUAAAGAUCUAUCGGUGAUGGAUGGGG